rnacentral:misc_RNA from 1 species
UCUCCGUUGGUGAACCAGCAGAGGGAUCAUUAUCGAGUUAUUCAACUCCCAACCCCUAUGUGAACUUACCACUUGUUGCUUCGGCGCGCGCUUCGGCGCCGCCGAGGACACUUAAACUCUUUGUUUUUAUAAGCAUUUCUGAGUGGCCGAAAGGCAAAAUACAAAUGAAUCAAAACUUUCAACAACGGAUCUCUAGGUUCUG